GCGGGUGAGAACUGUUCGUCGUCGUCCCCUUCGACGUCCGAUCGGUAAAAUGCUAGAUCACACACUAGCCUGGCUAGAGACUACUAGCCACGGUCUCGUCACGUGAUGAUUGCGUCACUCUACUUGGUUGCCCCACACCACCAGCUACGGCGAACCGGGCGGCCAUCUUUACCCAGUAGAACAGCGGACGGCAAUAGUUUUGCCGGUGAGGAGAGGGCGCAGCGGGUGGGGGGAUGUGAACCACAGUUACUGUGAAUGGAACAGUUACCGUAAUCACCUGUCUUUCGAAACAAAACAGAGAAAAACAAAACAACAAUUCACGAGUUUCGGUGUGUACGCAGAAGACGGAAACCGAACAGAAUAAUGAUGCGAAAAUAAAAGAAGAAGGAUGUGGUCAGUAUCGCGGUGACCCACUUGAUGGGUUCAAGAUGGCGUCUCUCGUUCGCAAAGUUGUGAGAUGCGAACAAUGCGGAAGUACCGUUGAUUGCCGAUAAUUCCGUACGUGUUCUCCACGCGCGGCACACCGACGUUGGUUCGAUCGUAGUUCGAUAUUCGAGUAAUUUCGUGGAUCACGAACGUCGCCUGCACAUUAAAGAGCUUGGAUGUAGGUGAAGAGGUGAGAUCGGACGAAAAACAGAAAAAUAGAUAUAAAAAUAAUUAUUUACUGUUACAACCGAACCACUUGCGCGCAACGUAGUCUUCCGUAUUUUUAUCCCACGGUAUAUUAACACGGUUUUUUGGUAAAAUCCGAUAAUGUAACUUAUUAAAAAUUAUUUAUGAAUGAUUAUUUAAGGUAUAGAAAAUAUUAUAUUAUUUGUGUAAUUUAACUUAUUAUAUUUUAUCAACAACUAGUCGCUGCUGGCAGUUGACCGACUUCUUCCCUUUCUUCAGUGUGAAUUACCGGUAUCGCGUACAAGUCAACGGAAGUUUAUUCGGGUUACGUGCAUUCCUGCGAGGAGGGCACGAUAAAGAGAUCCUGCGAGCAGGACUGCAAGUCGCGGAGAACCGACCCCCUCAACGGGCAGCGGCGAACGAGGAUGUUGUAUUCCGCUUAGCCAUCGGCGCACUCUGCCAAUCUCCCACCACCGGACACCCAGAUGCUAGCCCUGCGCAUUCGCGCACAAAUAUCGCACUCUCAUUGGUCCACCACCACUCUAUUUCACUUCCUGGUUGGCUCACGCGCGCGCGCGCGAGACGGAGAUAGCGAGAGAGAGAGAGAGUCACAUGACUCCCUGCGCGCGGGUUGCGAGCGCCAGGCGCGAAGCGCGGUCGAACGGCAACUGGUCGUACCACGCGUCAAAUACGCUCUACUUAUACGUUCAGGCUGCGACUCGGAGGGGGAAAAUAGCUCGGAUAAUAAUUUUCGUCUGUUGUUGGUUUUAUUUUUCCGAUUUUCUUCGGGAAGGGCAAACCCCUCUGACUGUGAGGAGCGCGACGCGCUGGCACUCGGCGCGCUCGGUCAACGGUCGGUAAAAUGCGAUAGGUGCUCACCGUUCGAACUUCGAAAAGCAAGUGCCGCGGAUUGUCGAACGCGCAGAAAGACCACCGCCCCAUCGCCCCACCGCAAUACGGCCUUUUCCUUCCCCUACUGCGCUCGCUCUCCGCCCUCCUUUAUUCCAGCUCGUAGCAACUCCACCUCCACCACUGACCCCGGACCCGGACUCUACUCCCUCCGCCCCUCGAGCUGGCACAAAUUUUGCUCGCCCUCCCACGCCACCUAUACAGAGCCGAAGAGCGCGCGCGCGCGCACGGCCACCUAUGACCUAUUUUUCCAUCGAUUUCCCGCGUGGAAAGUGGGACGGUAAAAUGGCCGCUGUCGUAGUAAUUUCCGCCACUCCCUAUCCGAGAGAAAGAGAGAGAGAGAGAGAUUUCGUAAUCGCUAUUAACGCCCAUGCCACCAUAUACCACCACUACUACGAAUCCCACUCCGUAAUCUAUCUUGCGCUCUAUAAUACUCGGCUGUGUACCGAGGCGGUUAUACGGCUACUACUCCGUAUCUCAUGACACGUUCGCUCGUUGAUUGCUGAUUGCUACAGCGAGGCCUAGCCCUGCAUGCCAUGCCACGACGCGACGCAAUCCUCUCGCUUGUUAUAUUGUACGGUGCUCAGGCACGCUAGCCACUCACACUGCAACUGCCCAGGUUCAUUCUCCGAUCGAGAAAACUUAUACCGUUUGACAAAAUAUAUUAUUCCCAUGAGUAUAAAGCAGCAUAGUAGUAUGCGAGUAUGAUUAUCACGGUACGUGUGAGCCUCGAUAAAAAUAUAGUCCAAUACGCUUUUCUCAGUCCAUAUUCAUGAAGCCAUGGCGUUGUUUCAAAACCGAAUCAUGGGCCAAGGUAACGCUUGAGAAAUUUCAAAUUUAUACCAACGGCCGAGCGCGUCGCUUGUAAGGUAUGCGCAAAGCUUCCGUGGAUGAAGUAGAUAACCAGAAAAAGGAUAACAACGCGGUAAGAAGAAGAAGAA